CCAUAGGUGGCCAUCUUAACUACUCGCAGUCUCUCAUUGAAGUCAAUGGGAGUGAAGCCAUAGGCGGCCAUCUUAAGUACUGGCAGUCCGGGCGGGGAGACUCGGGGCCGGGGGGCGAGGACAUCAGAUUGACAUCCAUCCAUCCAUCCAUCGAGGUACAGAGUUUGCGAUCGCC